rnacentral:lncRNA from 1 species
AUUGAGACCCGAAAGGAUGUUGAAAAUAAAAGAAGAGGUAGAAAAAUAUCUAGAUUGGCUUGCUGACAUAGUCCCUGUUACGAAGAAGGAUGGCCAGGCGGUUGAUAAUCCGUGUUGACAUUUCAUUGCUGCAGCAGAGAAAAAACAAUUCCUACGGAGGAAUUACUUUUUUUCUGGGAUGGACAAUUAUCCAUAUUUGGCUUUUUGGGUACAAGUAGGGACGUGCUCUAGGGUUAGGUGGUUAUAAGAGUUUGUACUGAUCCUAAAUGUUUGUAAGGUAACCGACGCUUUUGCCUCAUCUAGAAAAAUUAAACCCAUAGGAGCGACUGCAUAUGGUGGUUGAGGAGCAGUUAUACAGUACCAAUUGCAGAAAAGGUUACAAUUUCUUUAUUGCAACUCAUAAAAGCUUCUUUCAGAAGUUUGACAUGUGUAUUUUUGAAUUAUUUCGAUGAAAUAAUUGAUAGUGCUCCUAUUGUCAAGUUAAUUUUGUACGCAUACAACCCUCAAUGCAAAUGCCAUAACUAUCUUCUUUC